rnacentral:rRNA from 1 species
UAACGCGUGAGGAACCUGCCUUUCAGAGGGGGACAACAGUGGAACGACUGCUAAUACCGCAUGACACAUUGGGGUCGCAUGGCCCUGAUGUCAAAGAUUUAUCGCUGAAAGAUGGCCUCGCGUCUGAUUAGCUAGUUGGUGAGGUAACGGCCCACCAAGGCGACGAUCAGUAGCCGGACUGAGAGGUUGACCGGCCACAUUGGGACUGAGAUACGGCCCAG